rnacentral:rRNA from 1 species
UUGAACGCUGGCGGCAUGCUUUACACAUGCAAGUCGAACGGCAGCGGGGGCUUCGGCCUGCCGGCGAGUGGCGAACGGGUGAGUAAUGCAUCGGAACGUACCCAGUCGUGGGGGAUAACUACGCGAAAGCGUAGCUAAUACCGCAUACGCCCUGAGGGGGAAAGCGGGGGACCUUCGGGCCUCGCGCGAUUGGAGCGGCUGAUGUCGGAUUAGCUAGUUGGUGGGGUAAAGGCCUACCAAGGCGACGAUCCGUAGCUGGUCUGAGAGGAUGAUCAGCCACACUGGGACUGAGACACGGCCCAGACUCCUACGGGAGGCAGCAGUGGGGAAUUUUGGACAAUGGGCGCAAGCCUGAUCCAGCCAUGCCGCGUGAGUGAAGAAGGCCUUCGGGUUGUAAACUGCUUUUGUACGGAACGAAAAGGCUCUGGUGAAUACCUGGGGCUCAUGACGGUACCGUAAGAAUAAGCACCGGCUAACUACGU